ensembl:lncRNA
CGACCUCCCUUCCCUUCUUCGGGUGCUGCGGCCGCGGCUCCUGCCCCGCCGGCCCCUCUCCGGGUCUCCCUGCGCGCCCUGCGCCGCCGCGACCCCUCGCCGCUGGCCCUCGGCCGGUCCCCUCCGCGGCCCCACAGUCGCCGGCCCUGCCCUUGGUGCGGCCUAACCGAUCCCGGGCUUAGCCGGAUCCCCGGCUUUUCCCGGCCUAGCUCGCCGGCGACCCCGGCCCGGACCCCGAAAAUCACAGCGCGCAGUCCCCGCCGCCGUCACCACUGCGGCCACCUACUCGCUGCUUUCCCUUGGAUCCUAAGUUGUGUCCAACUCUUUUGCAACCCAUGGAAUGUAGACCGCCAGGCUCCUCUGUCCAUAGGAUUUCCCAGGCAAGAAAAGAAUAGGACAGCUGGGGCUCAAGGUGAGGCAGUGACGUGUCCAAGGUCACAAACGAGCACCGAAGCAAGUUCUAUGACCCAGGCACAGUGAGAGUUUCCUUCUGCUGCCACGUGGAGGCUGGAUUUUAGCUCAACGUUGGUUGCGUCAUGCUGCCACAGGCAAGUCUUCCCUAGACGCUGGCAUGCAGAAAUGGGGAAAGACCUAUGUGAUCCUGCCAAUAGGAUCGAAAUGAGCUCCUGAGCGAAAUCCUAAAGGAUGGGGAAGAAUCAGCUUAAGCAGUGGGCAAGACAGGGCUUUUUUAGUCCGUGGGACAAACAAGCACCCAAAUCCCCAAGGCACAAGCAAUUCAGUGCCAGCAGGAUGUCAAGUGGGGGGUGGGAAGCAGC